rnacentral:tRNA from 1 species
GCGCCCUUAGCUCAGUUGGUAGAGCAUCUGACUUUUAAUCAGGUGGUCGCUGGUUCGAGUCCAGCAGGGCGCACCA